CCUACGGGAGGCAGCAGUGAGGAAUAUUGGACAAUGGGCGCAAGCCUGAUCCAGCCAUGCCGCGUGCAGGAAGACGGUCCUAUGGAUUGUAAACUGCUUUUGUACAGGAAGAAACACUCCCUCGUGAGGGAGCUUGACGGUACUGUAAGAAUAAGGAUCGGCUAACUCCGUGCCAGCAGCCGCGGUAAUACGGAGGAUCCAAGCGUUAUCCGGAAUCAUUGGGUUUAAAGGGUCCGUAGGCGGUUUAAUAAGUCAGUGGUGAAAUCUGGUCGCUCAACGAUCAAACGGCCAUUGAUACUGUUAGACUUGAAUUAUUAGGAAGUAACUAGAAUAUGUAGUGUAGCGGUGAAAUGCUUAGAUAUUACAUGGAAUACCAAUUGCGAAGGCAGGUUACUACUAAUGGAUUGACGCUGAUGGACGAAAGCGUGGGGAGCGAACAGGAUUAGAUACCCUGGUAGUCCACGCCGUAAACGAUGGAUACUAGCUGUUCGGAGNAUNUGAGUGNGUAGAGAAGAGAGUAAGUAAGUACCACCGUCGGGAGGUACGGUUCGUCGAAGAAAGUUAGUAAAGUUAAAAGGUUAAAGUUAAGUUACGGCGUUGAGAGAGCGACGGACGACGACGAGGGGAAGGAAGGGAG
rnacentral:rRNA from 1 species